GAUUCUGGCUCAGAACGAACGUUAGCGGCGCGCCUAACACAUGCAAGUCGCACGAGAAAGGGCUUCGGCCCCGGUAAAGUGGCGCACGGGUGAGUAACACGUGGGUAACCUCCCUUCGGCGGGGGAUAACAUUCCGAAAGGAGUGCUAAUACCGCAUAAGACCACGGCUUCGAAAGGAGCUGAGGUUAAAGCAGGCCUCUCAUGAAAGCUUGCACCGAGGGAUGGGCCCGCGGCCCAUCAGCUAGUUGGUAGGGUAAUGGCCUACCAAGGCGAAGACGGGUAGCUGGUCUGAGAGGAUGAUCAGCCACACUGGAACUGAGACACGGUCCAGACUCCUACGGGAGGCAGCAGUGGGGAAUCUUGCGCAAUGGACGAAAGUCUGACGCAGCGACGCCGCGUGGGUGAUGAAAAGGCCCUCGGGGUUGUAAAGCCCUGUGGGGCGGGACGAAUAAGUCGUGGCCAAUAUCCACGAUGAUGACGGUACCGCCUUAGCAAGCACCGGCUAACUCUGUGCCAGCAGCCGC
rnacentral:rRNA from 1 species